rnacentral:lncRNA from 1 species
GGCAAAAGUUAGGAGAUAUCUAAUCAAUGGAAGAUGGAAUUAAAAUGAAGGAAUUCAAAGUUAAAGGAGAAGGAUAGGCUACAAUGACCAAGAGCCAACAGUUUGCCAGCUGCUGUGUGUCUGUGAAGAACUCCCUGACCAGUGUCUUGAGUUGCCAUGGAGAUAUGACUGCUUCUGUUGAGUAGCUCUGAGACAUGAAGGACCUGAGCCCUAGGACCAUGCCUCAGGACUACCUGGUAUGAUGACUCCUUGCUGUCCCCAGUCCACCUGGCCGUGCUGCUGCUCCAGUUUCAACUGUUCUGCCUGCGGCUAUGGAACCCUGACCUGUUCACCGGACGUGCUUGUUGCAC